UACGUAGGGGGCAAGCGUUGUUCGGAAUUACUGGGCGUAAAGCGCGCGUAGGCGGUCUGAAAAGUCAGAUGUGAAAGCCCCGGGCUCAACUUAGGAACUGCAUUUGAUACUGUCAGACUAGAGUACAGAAGAGGUGACUGGAAUUCCCAGUGUAGCGGUGAAAUGCGUAGAGAUGGGGGAGAACACUCGUGGCGAAGGCGGCCAGCUAGACCAGUUCUGACACUGAGGCGCGACAGCGUGGGGAGCAAACAGG
rnacentral:rRNA from 1 species